rnacentral:rRNA from 1 species
AGAUGAGAUUUCCCAUGAUUAUAUAUCAGUAAGAGCCCUGAGAGAUGAUCAGGUAGAUAGGUUAGAAGUGGAAGUGUGGCGACACAUGUAGCGGACUAAUACUAAUAGCUCGAGGACUUAUCCAAA